UUUGUGCCAUUCAAUGGAUGGCUUGGCUCAAGCGCUGAUGAGGGACGUGCCAAGCUGCGAUAAGCCUCGGCGAACUGCAUGGACGUGUUGAACCGAGGAUUUCCUAAUAAGACCUCUUACUGUUUUAGCAACAGUGACCACGUACCUUAAUAUGGCGUGUGGUUGGGAACGCCCUGGAUUGAAACAUCUUAGUAGGGGCAGGAAAAGAAAUCAAAUUUGAGAUGCUGUAAGUAACGGCGAGUGAACACAGCACAGUUCAAACUGAAUCCACCCAGAAAUGGAAUGGAGAUGUGGUGUUGUAAGGAUUAAGCCUUUUUGCAGUCUUCUCAGGUGAAGCUGAACUUGUCUGGAAUGACAGACCAUAGAGUGUGAUAGUCAUGUAAGCACAAGCCUGAAAGAUUGUGGUUUUGUCCUUGAGUACCGUGAGUUGGAAUUCUCGCGGGAAUCUGGGAGUCAUCAACUUCCAAAACUAAAUACGUCUUGAGACCGAUAGUGCAUUAGUACCGUGAGGGAAAGCUGAAAAGUGCCCUAAGAAGGGAGGUGCAAAGUGCCUGAAAUUGAAUGGUGAUAGAGCGAUGUAGCAUGAAAGGAUCUCUACAAUGAAGGAGGCAGUCGCGAGGCUGUAGUACGAGUUGUGGUGCCAGUGUUACAUCUUACGUUUUGAAGAACGGGCCAGGGAGUGUAUUCGAGUGGCGAUGGCUAACCUCAUUAUGGGGGGAGCCAAAGCGAAAGCAACAUGCACGCAACCCCUUUUAGGGGUGAGGUGCGACGUGUACAAGCGCGUGGAGUCACUAGAUUACGACCCGAAACCCAGCGAUCUAGGCGUGGGCAGGUUGAAGCGUGGCGAAAGCUACGUGGAGGACCGUUAGCGGUAUUGAUUUGCAAAUCAUUCGCGUGACCUGUGUCUAGGAGUGAAAUACUAAUCGAGCUGGGAAACAGCUGGUUCCUUCCUAAACAUGUCGCAGCAUGACCCUGCUGGAGAUCGUCAACAAGGUAGAGCACUGAUUGGAGAAGCUGGGGGGGAAACCCCCUACUCUCUUGUCAAACUCCGAACUUGUUGUCAUCGUAGAAGGCAGGCAGUCCGGGCUACUGGGGUAAGCUUGUAGUCCGUGAGGGAGAGAACCCAGACCAUGGUUAAGGUCCCUAAGUGUCGACUAAGUGUUAAUACUAAAGGGUGUCCUAAGCCCAAGACAACUGGAAGGUGAGCUUAGAAGCAGCUAUCCUUUAACGAGUGCGUAACAGCCCACCAGUCGAGGUUUAGGGCCCCGAAAAUGGACGGGGCUCAAGUCGACCACCGAUACCAUGGAGCACCGAGAGGUGAUCUGGUAGGAAGGCGUCUGGCAUGGACAGAAGCAGGGCUGUGAAGUCCUGUGGACCGUGUUGGAACGAAAAUCCUGGCAACAGUAGCAGCAUAGCUGGGUGAGAAUCCCAGCCGCCGAAGGGGCUAGGUUUCCUCGGCAAUGUUCGUCAGCCGAGGGUUAGUCGAUCCUAAGAUAUAUCGUAAUUCGAGUAUGUCAAAAGGGAAACAGGUUAAUAUUCCUGUACCAAUCUAACAAUUUGAAUGUUGACGCAUCCGGGUAGGCUGAGCAGUGUCAUCGCACUGUCCAAGCAUUUAAAUUCUCGGAGUGCUGUAAUAGCGAGAAGAGAAUGAAUAUGUGAUGGAGAAAUUCAGCUAACCCCAGGUGCCCGUGAAAAGGCCGUUGGAUUGAUCGUACCGAGAACUGACACAGGUGCCCCUAGCUGAAAAGGCUAAGGCGUGUCGGGUUAUGCUGGCUAAGGGAAUUCGGCAAAUUAGCUCCGUAACUUCGGGAGAAGGAGUGCCUGCCAAGAAGUUGGCAGGUCGCAGUGACCAGGGAGCUCUAACUGUCUAAUAACAACAUAGCUGACUGCAAAUCCGAAAGGAUGAGUACAGUCAGUGAAUCCUGCCCAGUGCAGGUACCUGAAAGCUCGGUUCAACGGGAAGAAGGGCCUGUCAACGGCGGGGGUAACUAUGACCCUCAACAAACAAAAGAGCACAAGGGGGUUUUGAAAUCUGGCUAUAUGCUGGAAACUCCUUGUUUUUGACUCCUGAGCAAGGGACAAUGUCAAAAACAAUAAGGAUGAUCAGCAGGAAACCGGAAGGUGAAAAGAUUGUUAAAUGAGUUUGAAGAUUUAAUCGACCCAAAACUUAUGCCAAGAAAGCGAAAGGAAUUGAUGCAUCAUCUCAUCGGAUUUGCUGAUGGAGAAGGAUGCUUCAAUGUUUCGCUCAAAAGGCAGAAGACAGCACGAUUCGGAUGGGUACUUGAUCCAGUGUUUCACGUGACCCAACAUAGAGAUAAUCAAAUCAUCCUCGAGAUGUUUAAGAGAAUACUCAUGUGUGGUAGAAUCAUAGAGAAACACGGACAAAAGGACACAUUCCAAUUCAUGGUCGAUAACCGAAGACAACUCAUCGAAAAGAUCAUUCCAUUCUUCGAUCGAUAUCAUCUUAUCGUCAAAAGAAGGGAUUUUGAGUUGUUUAAGGAGAUAGUCAUCGGACUUGAAGCUAAAAAGCACAGCGAUCUGAAUGAGUUUAAGAAACUCCUCAAAAAAGCAUUUGAGAUGAAUCAAUAUGGAAAACAGAGGAGAUACAAACAGAACGAUGUGUUAAAUGAUCUGGAUCUUCUGGGGUCCUCAGAGGCCAUACGCCAGACACCUGAAAAGAAAAAAGCAUAGGAUGCUAAAAGAAGGUGAAGAUAUGGUCCACCAUAACUGGUGCUUAAGGUAGCGUAGUACCUUGUCGCUUAAUUGGCGACUCGCAUGAAUGGAUCAAUGAGAGCUCUACUGUCCCUAGCCAGAGCCCGGUGAAGUUUACAUCCCAGUGCAGAGUCUGGGGACCCCCAGGGGGAAGUGAAGACCCCGUGGAGCUUUACUGCAGCCUGCAGUUGGAUUGUGGUUUUGAUUGUGCAGAGUAGGUAGGAGACGUCGAAGCUCGCGCGCCAGCGUGAGUGGAGUCAACAAUGAGACACUACCCUUUCAAAAUUAUGAUCCUAACCCAAAUUUUUUUGGGGACACCUGUAGGUGGGCAGUUUGGGUGGGGCGCCACGCCCUUGAAAAGAUAUCAAGGGCGCCCAAAGGUUGACUCAGGUGGGUCAGAAACCCACUAAAGAGUGCAAGAGCAUAAGUCAGCCUGACGUUAUCCCGCACAAUGAGGGAUGACGAGAGGAAACUCGGGUCUAGCGAACCACUAUGCCUUCUUGAUGAGGGCUAUUGAUGACAGAAAAGCUACCCCAGGGAUAACAGUGUCGUCACCGGCAAGAGCACAUAUCGACCCGGUGGCUUGCUACCUCGAUGUCGGUUCUUUCCAUCCUGGCUGUGCAGCAGCAGCCAAGGGUGAGGUUGUUCGCCUAUUAAAGGAGAUCGUGAGCUGGGUUUAGACCGUCGUGAGACAGGUCGGUUACUAUCUACUGGGGGUGUCUGAAGUCUGAGGGUAAGCUGCUUAUAGUACGAGAGGAACUGAGCAGCGGCGCCACUGGUCGAUCGGUUGUCUGACAAGGCACUGCCGAGCAGCUACGCGCUACAGAGAUAAGGGCUGAAAGCAUCUAAGCCCGAAACUCCACCCGAAAAGAGACUUCUAUAGAACGCUCAUAAAAGAUGAGUUUGAUAGAAUCGGGAUGUACGCACCAAGGGAAACCGAGGUGUUCAGUCCGCGAUUACUAAUCGUUCUUUA
rnacentral:rRNA from 1 species